CCCUUAGAUGUUCUGGGCCGCACACGCGCUACACUGAAGGAGGCAGCGUGUACUCCUGGAUCGAAAGAUUUGGGUAACCCGCGAAUCUCCUUCGUGCUAGGGAUUGAGGUUUGCAAUUAUCCUUCAUGAACGAGGAAUUCCCAGUAAGUGCAAGUCAUAAGCUUGCGCUGACUACGUCCCUGCCCUUUGUACACACCGCCCGUCGCUACUACCGAUUGAAUGAUUUAGUGAGGACUUCGGACUGGGACCGAUGCGGCUUUCGGGCUGCGUCGGUAUUCUGGAAAGAUGUCCAAACCUUAUCAUUUAGAGGAAGGAGAAGUCGUAACA
rnacentral:rRNA from 1 species